CAGGUCCGAGAGUCACUGCCAACAAGCUGUUAUUACAGAAUCUCAUUUUCCAAUUGUACCAGGAGCACUAAUGCAGAAAGUGGAGUUUUUGUCUUGCAAAGGAUAGAUGUGAACAGUAUAUAUGACGCAAGGAGUGUCUCAUCAUCAUCAUCUUCUUACAGCUCCACUGCAUCACGCACCUUCAAGUAUACAUAAAUAACUACUGUAUUGACUUUAAAGGCAUUGAUUAUGCUGUGAUCA